UGGAAAUAAAUCAAAUGAGCACAUUUAUAGCUUUUGGGGGUUCUUUUCCUAAAUGAAAGGAAAUUCAAACUUGAUUACAUGAUUGAACUUGAUGAUCACUUCUCCAAAAUAAAAAUAAAGUAAUAUAAUUCAUCAAUUGACACUUAUUAUUUCAAUAAAUAUAAAAUAAACAAGAUUCCAAAAAAUUAUAGUCGGCAAUCUAGAUCGAACAUACGCGCACACAAAUCCAUUUCUCUAGAAAAACUCAGAUAUGAAUAAUAUGGAAUCAAGACUCAUCAUUAUCAAGAUUACCUUCACAGGGAUUCUCACUUGUUUCAAUAUCGAUCUUACAAACUUCAAAGAUCGAAAUCACAUUGGAAUCAGUCAAGUUGAUCUUUUGGAAGACUUCACAAAGGCAAGAUUUAUUACCUGAGUAGAGAUGAUUCAUCUUAUCGCAACAUUUAUCCAGACCAACACUGUUAUUUACAUCGAUGCAAGCAUCAGACAAAGUCUUUACACAAGUAAGAUCUCCAUGAACCGUCAAUACCAUCCAGACUGUUAUGGCUAUCAUCGCCAUAAAUGUAAUUGUCUUCUUCUCCAUCUUCAAAUCUCUUUCACACCAACUAGAUAGCUAGAUAAGAGUUAAGUACUCUUGUGUGACCAACUCAAU
rnacentral:lncRNA from 1 species